GUGAGGAAUUUUCCGCAAUGGGCGAAAGCCUGACGGAGCAAUGCCGCGUGAAGGAUGAAGGUCUAUGGGUUGUAAACUUCUUUUCUCAGAAAAGAAUUAUGACGGUAUCUGAGGAAUAAGCAUCGGCUAACUCUGUGCCAGCAGCCGCGGUAAGACAGAGGAUGCAAGCGUUAUCCGGAAUGAUUGGGCGUAAAGCGUCUGUAGGUUGUUUAAAAAGUAUUCUGUCAAAGAUUAGGGCUUAACCCUAGAUAGGCAGAAUAAACUUUUAAGCUAGAGUUUGGUAGAGGCAGAGGGAAUUCCCGGUGGAGCGGUGAAAUGCGUAGAUAUCGGGAGGAACACCAAAGGCGAAGGCACUCUGCUGGGCCAAUACUAACACUGAGAGACGAAAGCGAGGGGAGCAAAUGGGAUUAGAUACCCCGGUAGUCC
rnacentral:rRNA from 1 species